AGAACGAACGCUGGCGGCAUGCCUAAUACAUGCAAGUCGAACGAACACUUCGGUGUUAGUGGCGCACGGGUGCGUAACGCGUGGGAAUCUGCCCUUGGGUUCGGAAUAACAGUUGGAAACGACUGCUAAUACCGGAUGAUAUCGAAAGAUCAAAGAUUUAUCGCCCAGGGAUGAGCCCGCGUAGGAUUAGCUAGUUGGUGAGGUAAAGGCUCACCAAGGCGACGAUCCUUAGCUGGUCUGAGAGGAUGAUCAGCCACACUGGGACUGAGACACGGCCCAGACUCCUACGGGAGGCAGCAGUAGGGAAUAUUGGACAAUGGGCGCAAGCCUGAUCCAGCAAUGCCGCGUGAGUGAUGAAGGCCUUAGGGUUGUAAAGCUCUUUACCCGAGAUGAUAAUGACAGUAUCGGAGAACAAGCCCCGGCUAACUCCGCGCCAAGCCAGCCCGC
rnacentral:rRNA from 1 species